rnacentral:misc_RNA from 1 species
CACGGAGCACGCACACACUCCUCAGCGAGCUCUGCGCGUGCUGGUCGCGGAUGACAACGCCGAUGCAGUCGCGAGUCUUGCGCUCGUGCUCGAGAUGAAGGGUCACGACGUACGCGCCGCGCAUGACGGUAUCGAGGCCGUGCAGAUGGCGGAGUCUUUCGACCCACACGUGGCGAUUCUGGACAUCGGCAUGCCGCUAUUGGACGGCUAUGAAGUCUGCCGGCGCUUGCGCGCACAAUCUCGCGGGCGGGAGAUGCUGAUCAUUGCACUCACCGG